UGCUGAUGGUACUACAAUUCCUUUCUC
rnacentral:piRNA from 1 species